rnacentral:rRNA from 1 species
CCUACGGGAGGCAGCAGUGGGGAAUAUUGCGCAAUGGGCGAAAGCCUGACGCAGCGACGCCGCGUGAGGGAUGAAGGUCUUCGGAUCGUAAACCUCUGUCAGCAGGGAAGAACGGUCACUGUGCUAAUCAGCAGUGAAUUGACGGUACCUGCAAAGGAAGCACCGGCUAACUCCGUGCCAGCAGCCGCGGUAAUACGGAGGGUGCGAGCGUUCAUCGGAAUUACUGGGCGUAAAGCGCUCGUAGGCGGUAUGUCAAGUCAAGGGUGAAAUCCCCGCGCUCAACGUGGGAACUGCCUUUGAAACUGGCAAACUGGAGUGUGUGAGAGGAUAGUGGAAUGCCAGGUGUAGGAGUGAAAGCCGUAGAUAUCUGGAGGAACAUCAGUGGCGAAGGCGACUAUCUGGCACAUAACUGACGCUGAGGAGCGAAAGCGUGGGUAGCAAACAGGAUUAGAUACCCCUGUAGUC